rnacentral:rRNA from 1 species
GCAUAAUCAUUAGUUUUUUAAUUGAAGGCUGGAAUGAAUGGUUGGACGAAAUAAUGACUGUUUCAUAUAAAUUUAGAUUAGAAAUUUAUUUUUUAGUUAAAAAGCUAAAAUUUAAUUAAAAGACGAGAAGACCCUAUAAAUCUUUAUAUUAAAUUGAUAUUUAUUAUUUAGUAAUUUAUAUUAAUUAUCAAUAGUAAUAUUUUAUUGGGGUGAUAUUAAAAUUUGAUUAACUUUUAAUUUAUUUUAACAUUAAUUUAUGAUUAUUUGAUCCAUUAUUAUUGAUUAGUAGAAUAAGUUACUUUAGGGAUAACAGCGUAAUUUUUUUGGAGAGUUCUUAUCGAUAAAAAAGAUUGCGACC